UGUGUGUGUGUGUGUGUGUGUGUGUGCAUGUUUCCUUUAAAAAAUAUACUGUAACCUAGGCUUACUUUUUUGCCUGUUAACACACAUUAGCAAUAUUUUGUUUUACUUUGUGGUGGCAAUUAUUUCCCAUCAUAUGAUUCCUUGGGUCUGGUCUGAUUAAGAGAAGCUACUUGCACAACCAGUGUAACUUGCACAGAACUUCCUGUUCUUGUGUUUAUCUCCAUGAAGAAAAGCUACCAAAGAUGAGAGCUAAGAUCAUUAAGCCCCUCUCCCUUGGUCUUUCAACGUCCUUCCUGAUGCUCUGGCUGGUUUGUGCUUUUAGAUGUUCAGAAAGAGCAAAUCCUUAUGAAGAGUCACUACUGAGAGCAGGUUUUGUGAUUGCUCACUAAAGCCUAGGCGUGAGGGCAUGACAGAAGGUUGAGCAGGUUUGGUUUUAGUGUUGAGAAAGAGUGAUUCAUCCUUUUGGUGCUAAGGGAAAGAAGAAAAAGGAUGUGGUUACACUUAAAGGGUGGUGAUGCCUGGUUAUUUGUAACUACCUGCACUCAAGCAUUCCUUUUUUGCUUUACAGGUGGAUGAAUUAUUAUAUAUUUUAAUUUACUAUGCUGUGAUUUUUAUCCCCCUGACUUACUUAUUUUAUAAUUGGAAGUCUGUCCAUCCUUAUCUCCUUCAUCUAUUUCAUCCCACACUAUGGCAAACACCAGUUGGUUCUUUGUGUUUAUGAGUCUCUUUUGUUUUCUUUGUUUUUAUUUUUUGGACUCCACAUGUAUGCAGUCAUAUGGUAUUUGUCUUUCUCUGACUUAUUCACUUAGCAUAAUGUUAACAAGGCUGGUCCAUGUUAUCACAAAUGACAAGAUUUCAUUCUUUUUUAUGGCUAAGUAAUAUUCCAUUCUGUAGAUAUACCACAUCUUCCUUGUCCAUUCAUCUUUCAACAGAUAUUAGGUUGCUUCUAUAUCUUGGCAUAAAGAUGAAUUCUUAAAUGAGAGAAGAAAGAAAAAGGAAAACUCUGAAAGACAGAAAGAGUAGACCUAAGCAGAACUUUUCUUCUUUAUAAGAAACUUAACGUUGUUCCAAGUAAGUCCUCAUUGCUUCUGUGUAAACUCUGCCUCCACUGAAUGCUGCACUCAGUAAACAGGAUUUUAGCAGAAACUAGUAUCGUAUUCUUGGUUUUUGAAUCCAGAAGAUAAAUGUGUAUUUUGAGUUUUUUUUUACUUUGGUUUGUGAAUUCUGGAUCAAUUAAUAAAUUUAAAUGAAAAAUUAAAAAGCAUACAUUUACAUUGCAUGCUGAUCAUUCACUUUGUGAAUUCUGAGUAUGUUCAGGAGAGCUGUGGUUGUUUAGGACUUACCUCAGUUUUUAGAACACGCUACAUGUUUAAGAAACAUAAGCUGUUGUUGCUGUCAUUACCUGCUACAACUAUGAAAGAGAAUUUAGGACAGUAAAAUGACAACAAGUGGUUACAGAUAUGUCCCACCUGACCACCUUCUCUCUAACCUGCUGCAAGCCUCCAGGAGGCCUCUCCUAUAAAGGUGUGUUUAAGAAGUUCAAAUCUGACUAUCAGCAUGAACUAGACAAGACUGGAGAAGUAAUUAUCUUCAUUUUAGUGUUAGGCUUGUUGGUAGCUGUGGCCUGUGACCUUGUCCAACCUUUUGUCAAAUGGAAUUCAAAUCCCAAUGUCUCCUUUGGAGAGUUUCUAGUGCUCUGGUUUGAACACAGUGACAGCAGAGCACAGUAUGGAGUCCUGUGUGGAGCACUGGCUCCCAGGCCAGACCCUUUGACAUUCAAGUCGCUGACUCCUUGUGUGUUAGUUACGUGUGACCCUGGGAGAUCUUGUUUCCUCUGAGCCUUUCCAAGAUUUCAUUUUCCCCAGAGUCACUAGCUUCAAGAACAGCCUAGCAGUUGAAUGGCUAGGCCACUGGAAGCGUCCCCACAUAGGUACUCCUGGCAGCCCCUCUGCUCUGUCACAAGUUACAUGAGACAGUCACUAUUGGUCUUGAAUGUGGUCCUGGUUCACCAAGGAAGGUCCUCACCACCCUGUUAAGCCGGGCACUAUGAUAGGUACUUAGGAAGCAUUUUCUUCCAAGUGGUUGGUAUAAAAAAAAACCUGAUGCUUAAAAAACUAUGCUUUAGUUAACAGGAAAACAAUCCACUGUGGAGCACUUGGGUCACUGAAGCCGAUGGUGUCACGAGGCAUCACCGUGAGCACUGCUCAGCCCUCUGUUGUACAAUUGCUGGUGGUACAAUUAUUUGUACUAGUAUGAUAACAACUGGGAACAAUACCAAUGAAAGAAUAUGGGAAAAAACCAGCUAACAUUGAUUCAGCCAUGUUGUUUUCUAGAAAAUGUUAUGUCUUUUUCAUGGGCUCUAUUUCUUAGUCUCACAGAAUUAUACGAGAUGAGUAGCAUUAAUAUUUUCCAGAUGAGGAAACUGGGGCUUAGAGAAAAGUUUCUUGCCCAAGAUGACACAUAUCAAAAGCAGUGGCGGUGGAUUUGAAACCAAGGCCCCUGGUCUCCAGGGCACAGCCUCAUCCCUGUUUUACCAAGCACUUCAGGAAGGACCAGAUGCCUACCUCAUUGGCUGUCUCUCCUUCGGGAUAUAUGUGCUUUCUUCACUUCAUUUUUCCCCUUUAAAAGAGAUCUUGGCUUUAGGUACUAUUCUUAUAUGAUUAAAGAAUGAUUUAUCCAUUCUUAUGUCUUAUUUGUUUUCUAAUCGACCAAUAAGUAAUGAAAAAGCUAUCAGAGCAUAGCAAAAGGGAGAGCUACUUCACUGAGUAAUGAACACAGGUACUUCUCCCAUACCUUUGUGAGGAUGGUCCAAAAAAAAGCCUAGAUCAGCCACUCUACUUACCAGCAAGAUUCUUGGCUGCUGCUCCCCUCAGGGUGUGCUGAAAUUCAACAUCUUUUGAACACCAGAAUCAACAAAGUUGAGGAACUAAACCUAUCCUUGAGGUCUUCUAUAAGCUACCAUUGUUAACUGUUUCAGAUUUUCUCUGGAACACGGCACAUAACAACGAGUUUGAGUUUAAAGAUGGGUAAUCAUUGUUCAUCAUUUUUGCUUAAAAAAUCAGAAUUCAUCAUUUCUGCUUAAAAGUAUACAUCUCAAAUUCAGUGAUUCUAAUGCUAUGGGAUACGGCUUGGUUGUUCUACUAUUCGUUGUCAAGGGAAUUACUAGAAACAGAG